rnacentral:rRNA from 1 species
GACGAACGCUGGCGGCGCGCUUAACACAUGCAAGUCGAACGGAAAGGCCUGCUUUCCCUUGUGGAUUGCGGGUACUCGAGUGGCGAACGGGUGAGUAACACGUGAGUGAUCUGCCCCCAACUUGGGUAUAAGCCUGGGAAACUGGGUCUAAUUCCCGAUAGGACUGCAGGGUGGUGCCUGUGGUUGAAAACGAUUUUCUAGUGGUUGGGGAUGAGCUCGCGGCCUAUCAGCUUGUUGGUGGGGUAAUGGCCUACCAAGGCGGCGACGGGUAGCCGGCCUGAGAGGGUGGACGGGCAAAUUGGGACUGAGAUACGGCCCAGACUCCUACGGGAGGAAGCAGUGGGGAAUAUUGAACAAUGGGCGGAAGCCUGAUGCAGCGACGCCGCGUGGGGGAUGACGGCCUUCGGGUUGUAAACUCCUUUCGACCGAGAGGAAGCCACCUGGUUGGAAGGGUGGUGACGGUAGUGGUAGAAGAAGCACCGGCUAACUACGUG